CCUACGGGAGGCAGCAGUGGGGAAUUUUGGACAAUGGGCGCAAGCCUGAUCCAGCCAUUCCGCGUGCAGGAUGAAGGCCCUCGGGUUGUAAACUGCUUUUGUACGGAACGAAAAGGCUGAGUUAAUACCUCGGGCUCAUGACGGUACCGUAUGCUAGAACGCCUUC
rnacentral:rRNA from 1 species